rnacentral:rRNA from 1 species
GCGACCAUACCCACUGGAGAACUCGGGAUCCCGUCCGCUCUCCCAUCGAUAAACCAGUGAGGGCYGGAGUAGUAGUCGGGUCGGWGACGACCGGCGAAUGCCCGGUGUUGCAUGUC